rnacentral:lncRNA from 1 species
AUUUUGGAGUUUUUCAUGUUUUUGCUGUUUCCAUGGUAACGGCCGCCAUUUUAAAAAUUCCAAAGUUAAACUACUGCUGCAUAUUGUUCUCUCCCUAAGAAUAUUCUAUUAUAUAACAUUUAAUGUCUGUUGAACUAUUUUAACACUCAUGUUCUGGAAUGUUCCAUGAAAAAUUCACCCCCUCAAAUUAUGUCUAGAGACCCCCCAGUUGAAAAAAAAUUGUACCAUGUUGAAGUGUGCAUGACUCUCCUAAUAUCAUAGAAGUUUCAUAUAAAUUGGAACAUAUUUCUAUUUUUCACAUUUUUGCUGUUUCCAUGGCAAUGGCAGCCAUUUUUUUAAUUCCAAGGUAAGGUGCAAAACUGCACAUGGUGAUUAACAUUAUGUUAUAGUUCCAUCAACAUUGGUCCAUUCAAUUCCGAGAACUAAGCCGGACAAAAAGUGUGGAAUAAAAAUAAUAAGAAACUAGAAUUGCCAUUGCAAGCAAUAGCGGAUGUCACCCUGGUUCCCCAAUUGCCACUAAACGGCAGCCAUUUCGAAAUGUUCCAUCAGUAAAUGCAGAUAUAUCCAUAACAAAAGAUCUUUCUGUCAGUUUUCAUAGCUUUAUGUACGUUUUUCUGUUUUCAACAAUUGUGCCGUUUCCAUGGCAACGGCGGCCAUUUUGGAAAUUAAAAACUCAAAAGUCAAGUCUACAAUAGCUAGGCAACAUUUGUUUUAAGUUUCAUUAAAUUUGAAGCAUUUUGGAGUUUUUCAUAUUUUUGCUGUUUCCAUGGUAACGGCCGCCAUUUUAAAAAUUCCAAAGUCAAACUACUGCUGCAUAUUGUUCUCCCCUAAGAAUAUACUAUUAUAUAACAUUUAAUGUCUGUUGAACUAUUUUAACACUUAUGUUCUGGAAUGUUCCAUGAAAAAUUCACCCCCCUCAAAUUAUGUCUAGAGACCCCCCAGUUGAAAAAAAAAUGUACCAUGUUGAAGUGUGCAUGACUCUCUUAAUAUCAUAGAAGUUUCAUAUAAAUUGGAACACAUUUCUAUUUUUCACAUUUUUGCUGUUUCCAUGGCAAUGGCAGCCAUUUUUUUAAUUCCAAGGUAAGGUGCAAAACUGCACAUGGUGAUUAACAUUAUGUUAUAGUUCCAUCAACAUUGGUCCAUUCAAUUCCGAGAACUAAGCCGGACAAAAAGUGUGGAAUAAAAAUAAUAAGAAACUAGAUUUGCCAUUGCAAGCAAUAGCGGAUGGCACCCUUCCCCCAUUGCCAGGCGAGCGGCAGCCAUUUUGAAAUUUCCCAAGUCAAAGAG